CUAAAUUCCACUAACCCUACAUGACCGAGGUAAUCUUCCUCGUAGUAAACGAGUGACACCGUCGGAGCUGCCGCCGAUGGUCAACGCCUCUGCCACCAAUGGACACCAAAAUCACACCCCAGAUUCUCCUUCUCCUUCUCUACCUGAAUCCAUGACUGGUUACCUUCGAAUCAUAGUCAAACGUCUCGAAUAAUCAAUUAAGUUUUCCAGCCAAAACGCAACCUUGUCCAAAUCGGUUCAAAUUCACACCCCAUGUUCCCCUAACCUCCCUCAUCCCUAAUCCCUAAUCCCUAAACGGAUUCCUUCGAAUAUCGCUGGAGAGCCUCGAAUUUCAGAUCGAAGCUGGACCUUAAAAACCCUAAUUUCACGAGUCGGGGAUUUUUGGAGGGCUUGACCAUUACAACAUUUAGUUUAUAGUUUCUCAUGAAAAUAUAUGAUUAAAUGCUCGUUUGGGCAAGGGUUUCAAUCGUACUUUUGCCAGGUCGAAGUUUUAGAACUGGUAAUCCUCUCCUAUGUUAUUUUUCUAUUAUUUUAUUACUUUUUUUUAUUAUUGAAUCGUCUUAUAUUUUCUGUCGCUAAGUUUAAUUUCUGCUCUCGUCCAAAUUCUGUUUUAAAACUCAACGAUUCAAUAGCUGAUUACUUGUUUGAUGAACGAUGAUUGAUAUCUUGUUAGUUUGAACUGUUAGAGACUAAUUUGGGGAUUAAGUUUAGGUUAAUGUUUGAAGUUUCUGAUUUUGCAAAGUACUGUUUGAUUGCUGCCAAGUUGAUUGGAUUUGAUUUUCUUUUUGUUUUCUAAGAGAUAAUGUUAACUCAGCUUAAUUCAUUUUGUGGUUGAGUUUGAUGUUUGACGAUGUAUUAGGUUCUGGUUGUUUGUGAUUGAUUUACUCUUAGUUUUGACUAAUUAGGACUAAUUCAGUAGUUCCGUUUGUUAUUAGUUGAUUUUAAUCAAUUUAGUUUAGUUAGUUUUAGGUUAAUCAUUGAUUGUUACUGCUUUAAUUCCCUAUUUAGUCCAAUUAGCUGUUACAAUUAUACAAUCUGGGUAAGGGGUUGGUUUAAUAAACUAAAGUUGGUAAUUUUAGGUUUAAUUGAAUUCAAGGGUAGUUUAAGUGUUUGUGAUUGCGUAGAACAUGAUAGCUAACACUAGAGUCUUCUAGGAUUUUCUAGAAUGAGCCUUUAGUGCAUAUUUUAUAAAACUUAGUGUACUAACUUGAGGAACAAGGUAAUAAGUAGAGUACUGAAUUGAAAUAAAAUAGGGACUGGAGUGUAAAACACUAAAUCUGAAAUUGCAUCUCAUAGUGCCUAUAAAAGGGCCAGGUCUUUGCCUUAAUGAACAAGCUGGGGGCUCCGAAAAUUCCCUCCUUAAGUCCUCUCUAGUUGCAUAUUCACAUGAAGACUUGAAAUUUGAAAUUCAUAUUAGAGUUCUGAGUGUUUCUACAGAAAACAAAAGUAAAAAUCAACAAAACUCUCAAAAACCCAAAAAAAACAUCACUGUUCUAUUGGUCACUGUGGUUUAACUUUAAGUUUGAGUAAUUGGUGUCGAUCUGCUGUUUCAACACUGAAUAGCUUUUGAAUCUGAGUUUAUUUCCGUGCCUGUUUUGGUUGCUGAGAUUCGAGAUGUGUUUUGAUAUGUUAAUUCGAGUCCAUUUGGAGUGACAUUUGGGUUGUUUGGGUUGGUUUUGAAUACUAGAUCUCCUUUUAACUUAAAUCUGGUUUGUUUGCUGCUGGAUUGAUUUGCUGUGUUGAGCUAUUGCGGACUUAUUUUUCUCCUUCAUUGUAUCUACGUUCCAAGUACACGCUCGAAACCACAUUGAUGUAACCACAACUUGGAGUGAAAUGCCCUUGUAUUGACUAACCUGUGUUCUUUUAGUUAUAUAUAUGAUUGUAAUUGUUCAUGAUGAGUAGUAGUGUACAUUUCAUACGUUGGAUUUGAAUUUUAAGAGGCUAUUAAUUAGACCAACCGAACUGUGUUGAAUUGAACCUGGAAUGCCAAUUGGUUAACUCUGAAUCAUGUAACUUCAGGAUGUAUGAUUGAACUCCUGUGGAAGUUGUAGCUAAGAACUAAUUGUUGGUUUGAAUUCAUAUACAAUAUCCUGUUUAGGUUUUUGUGUAGUAAAUGGCUCCGACAAUAUUAGCUUGAAUCUGUUUUGGAAUAGUUGAGAGUUUGGAUCAUUAACAUGGUUGUACAUAUAGUGUAAUAAACCACCAGUAGCAUAAUGAAUAAAGUAUGCGCAGAACUGGAAUCAAAUUAACUAAUGUUUAAUUAAGUUGACUUGAGUAUUAGGUGAUGAAAAUUUCCUAUGAUUGCUACAUUGAAUCACGUGCAUUCAGGAAUUAGGAAUAAGUUUGGCUUUAAGUGCAAAAUUUGAUUUCUAUUACUUUAAAGAGACGACAAUGCUGUUGGUGAGUAAUUUGGGGCAGUGUGGGUUUGUUCUCUAUCUGUGUAUACAAUGGAAACUAAGUUGUAUGCUAUCUCUUGGGGCCAACUUUUCAAAGCAGACCCCAGCGUUUGAUAUGUUAUGCUGAAUUACUGGGCAAGCUUCAUGUUCCUACUUCACGGGCUACUAGGCUUGGACAUUGGGCCCAUUGUUUAUAUAACCAAGAUUCUUCUUUUAUUACUCUAUAAGUAAAAAAUGAGAAUAGAUAACGUAGUUACUUUUAGAUUGGCCUUUAAUAAAACAAUGAGAUGAGCCUCACCAAACAAAGUACAAAAUGCAAGGCCCUCAAUAAACGGUUAUUAAAUGACUUAGAAUUGGGGGGGGGGGGGUGGCAUUUGGUAAAUUUCACCGCCUUCCCCAAAAUAAUAAUACGUUAGACUCUUUAAGCACGACUUUAAUAACAUUACAUUUCUAAACUCAGGUGCGUAUUGAUGCGACCAAAGUCCAAAUCUCAACGGAGUCGAAAUGUGUUGACAACCAUGGGUGCAUUGAUUGCGACGUGGUUCGGGAUGCAUUUUCACGACGUUGAAAUUCUUUUAAAAUAAUGAUAAAAGCAGUUUACAAAUAAAAGGCACAUAAGCUAGUAUAUAUAAAAAUAAGAUAAAAUCAAAUACAAUAGUUAAGUGACCGUACUAGAACCACGGAACCCGAGAAUGCCUAACACCUUUUCCCAGGUAAACAAAAUUCCUUACUCAUAUUUUGGUUUGCGGACGGUAAUAUAGAGUCACAUUUUCCUCAGUUCGGGAUUCAACUGGUGACUUGGGACACCAUUAAUCUCCCAAGUGGCGACUCUGAAUAAUUCAUAACUAAAUCCCGUUCUGAUUGUCCAUUAAUUGGAAAAACUCCUUUACGCUCUUGCGGGUGUAGUGAAAAAUGAGGUGUGACAAAGGGUUCUUGCAUAGAUCCUGUUAUUAUAAAAUCGGUAACUCAGCUACCACUGAUUAAUAGUAAAGUCAUCCCUUGGAGUUAUAAACAAGUGGUGGUGACAUAUAAAGGGAAGGAGAUCAGAGAAAAAGAUUGUGAAGUUCAGGGUAUGACUCAUUCAGGGAGGAGCUUUGCCCCUGAAGAGUUGAGAAAAGCAGAAUCCACAAAGAUAACCCGAUAUUGGUAAAGAAAGCCAUAACAUAAAAGGAAGCCGAAGAAUUCUUGAGGAAGAUGAAAGUACAGGAUUACCUAUCGUGGAAAUAUUGAAGAAAAUACCUGCCCAUAUCUCAUUUCUCUCAUUGCUGAUCAACUCAGAUGAGCACCGCCGAGCGUUGAUGAAAAUAUUGAAUGAGGCCCAUGUCCCCGAUAAGAUCUUAGUGACUCUCCUGGAGAAGAUAGCAAAUAAAAUCUUGAGGUGAAUAGAGUUACUUUCUCCGACAAUGAGUUUCCUGUGGAGGGCACAGAAUAUAACAACACCCUUUAUUUGACAGUGAAGUGCUUAGACUCUGUAGUCAUACAAGUUCUGGUCGACAACAGAUCUAGUGCAAAAUAUAUGUCCUCUUUCCACGUUGAACAAGCUAAAGGUCGAUGAUGAUAGAAUUCAUAAGAACAACGUCGGUGUGCGAGGGUUCGACGGCGGGGGCAAAGUUUAUGUGGGUGACAACAACAACAACAACAACAACAACAACAACAACCAAGAAUAAUCCCACUUAGUGGGGUCUGGGGAGGGUAAUGUGUACGCAGACCUUACCCCUACCCUUGGGUAUAGAGGUUGUUUCCAAAUAGACUCCCGACAUCCAUCCAUCCAAGAACUUCCCACCUUGCUCUUGGGGACACUCGAACUCACAACCUCUUGGUUAGAAGUGGGGGUUGCUUAUCAUCAGAGCAACCCCUCUUGUCUUUAUGUGGGUGACAUAAUAUUAGAAUUGACAAUCGUGCCAGUAGAGUUUACUAUGGAAUUUCAAGUACUAGAUGUGGCGUUCUCUUAUAACCUUUUGUUGGGGCGACCCUAGCUCCAUGCCGCCAAGGCAGUGCCAUCUACAUUGCAUCAAAUGGUUAAAUUCGAGUGGGACAGACAGGAGAUUGUGGUAAAGACAAUAUGUGUGCCCUGGGUGAUGCCAUUUUACCCUUCAUCAAAGUGGAAGAAGAUCGGGCGCCAUGGGUAUAUCAAGUCUCUAUCAUAGUAUAAGUGGAAAAGGUCCCGUAGGGGAAACGCACUCCAGUUCCUAGAGUAAUGGUCGCGACUGUCAUGGUGGCCUCUAAAAUGUUGAAGAAUGGUUUCAUAUCGGGUAAAGAUUUGGGUGCUGCUCUUCAAGGAACUGUGCAGCUAGUUUCUCUUCCAAAGAAUUUGGAUACUUUUGGUAUAGGGUUUAAGCCCACCGCGGCUGAUGUGAGACGAGCCCGCAAAAUGAAGAAGAAGGCAUGGGCCUUGGCAAAGCCAAUCCCACAUCUGUUUAGGUCUUUCGUCAGGCCGGGUAUUAGAAAGCAACUAUUGUCUGAAGUUCCCAGGUCACUGAUUGGUGCUGAUGGAGAAUUGGAUAAGGGGUUCGAAAGGUUAUUCACCGAGGUUAACAUGGUAGAGGCCGGGGAAGGGCCAAGCAAGGAAGAUGUGCAAUUCUUUGUAUCAUCAACUGGGAAGCUACUCCUCUUCCUGCUCGGAGGGAGUCUUGGUAGUGGGUUCUGAUUUUCUUUUGUUGUCUAGAUUAUUCAAUGGUUAGUAAUUUUGACAUUAUGUUCCGUCCAAUUGGAUGUGUUAAAGCCAUGUUAUCUCUAUAUUCAAUGAUGCAAUUUUCUUUUCUUUCUUCAUUCCUUAUUUUAUUUUUGUUUUCUUUUCUUAUCUGUAUAGUUCUUUUUAUGGUGAUAUCAAUGACAUGACAUGCAUGAGGAAUCUUCGGUCCAGUUUGAAAAGCCAAUCUAACUCGGAAAUAAUAAUACAAGAAGUUGAGUGUGAUGACGAGUUGGAAUUCAAUGACGAUGAGGCUUAUAAAGUAAUUAGUAUUGAAUUAAGUCAAUAUGAGGAAAAGCCCAAACCUAAUUUGAACGAUACAAAAGCAGUUAAUCUAAGGGACCAACAUAAUGUUUGUGAAACUAAAAUAAGCGUUCACCUGCAACCACAACUCAGGGAGGAGAUAGUCAAAGCACUAAUCGAAUACAAGGAUAUGUUUGCAUGGUCGUAUGAUGACAUGCCGUAUCUAAGCACUGAUUUAGUGGUUCAUAAGAUUCCCACUGACCCAGCAUUCCCACCUGUCAAACAAAAGCUGAGAAAGCUUAAAACGAAUAUGAGUGUAAAGAUCAAAGAAGAGGUCACCAAGCAGUUUGACGUGAAAGUUAUUUGGGUCACGCGGUAUCCCACCUGGUUAGCCAAUGUCGUGCCAGUACCAAAAUAGGAUGGAAAGACCAGGGUGUGUGUUUGUUAUCGAGAUCUCAACAAAGCAAGUCCCAGGGAUAACUUCCCACUUCCUAACAUCCAUAUAUUGAUUGACAAUUAUGCAUAACAUGAGAUUGGUUCCUUUGUGGAUUGUUAUGCGGGGUAUCACCAGAUUCGAAUGGAUGAGGAAGACUUAGAAAAUAUGGAAUUCAUCACGCCAUGUGGGACGUAUUGAUUUCGGGUCAUGCCAUUUGGUAUUAAGAAUGUCGGGGCAACCUAUAUGAGAGCGAUGACAACAAUAUUCCAUGAUAUGAUACAUAGGGAAAUCGAGGUGUGUGUGGAUGAUGUGAUUGUAAAGUCUAGAAAGCGGUCAGACCAUGUCAGGGAUUUGAGGAAGUUCUUCCAAAGGCUUCGUAGGUACAAUCUUAAGGUAAAUCUUGCAAAGUGCGCUUUUGGGGUGCCGUCUGGAAUGUUGUUGGGAUUCAUAGUGAACUGUCGGGGUAUUGAACUGGACCCAUCAAAAAUCAAGUCCAUCCAGGAACUACCACCUCCGAGGAACAAGACCGAGGUGAUGAGUUUGUUAGGGAGAUUGAAUUAUAUCAGCAGUUUCAUUGCUCAGCUCACGACAACUUUUAAGCCAAUCUUCAAAUUGUUAAAGAAAGAUGUUGUGGUCAAGUGGAUGGAUGAAUGUCAGGAGGCUUUUAAUAAGAUAAAGGGGUAUUUGUCGAACCAACCGCGUUGGUCUCUCCAGAACCAGGAAUAACUUUGAUUCUAUAUUUGAUGGUUUUGGAUAAUUUAUUUGGCUGUGUACUAGGGCAACAUGAUGUUACUGGUUAGACAGGAGUAGGCUAUUUAUUAUCACAACAAGAAAUUCACAUAUUACGAGAUUAAGUAUACUCAUCUUGAGAGGACAUGUUGCGCCCUAACUUGGGUCGCACAAAAGUUGAAACAUUAUUUGUCAUCUUAUACUACUUACUUCAUUUCUCGAUUGGAUCCAUUGAAGUAUAUCUUUCAGAAGCUUAUGCCCACAGGGGGGCUCGCAAAAUGGUAGAUCCUUUUUACAUAGUUUGACAUCGUCUACGUGAUGCGGACUACAAUGAAAACACAUGCCUUGGAGGACCAUUUAGUUUAGAAUCCAGUUAAUGAAGACUAUGAACAUUUAAAAACUUCCCUGAUGAAGAGGUGAUGCACAUUGAUGAGUUAGAAUAAUUCGAGAAGCUAGGAUGGAAUCUUUUCUUUGAUGGGGCUGCAAAUAUGAAAGGCUUUGAAAUAGGGGCAGUACUCAUUUCUAUAACAGGGCAAAACUACCCCGUCAUGGCUCAACUUCAUUUCUAUUGUGCUAAUGACAUGGCUGAGUGUGAGGCAUGUAUCUUGGGUUUGAGGUUAGAUGUAGAUAUGGGUGCCCAGGAAGUCUUGGUCAUGGGUGACGCGGACCUACUGCUACACCAAAUCAAGGAGAAUGGAAAACACGAGACUUGAAGCUUAUACCGUACCAACAAUGUUUGCAUGAUCUUUGUCAAUGGUUUCGAUCAAUAGAGUUCAGGCACAUUCCAAGGAUUUAUAAUGUUGUUGAAUAUUGUAAUGUGGUAGAAGAGGAACUUGACGGUGAGCCGUGGUUUUAUGACAUCAAGGAACAUACCAGGAUGGGGGUGAAACCAAUACAAGCCACAUGUGAUCAAAAGAGAACGAUUCGACAUUUAGCAAGCGGGUUUUUCUGCAGUGGAGGGGUUUUGCACAAAAGAACUCCGGAUCUUGGAUUGCUGAGAGGUGUACAUGCUAUACAUGCCACAACUAUUAUGACCGAAGUACAUUCUGGAGUCUAUGGGUUGCACAUGAACGGGUACCUGUUGGCCAAGAAUUUAUCUGAUCAGGUUAUUAUUGGCUCACUAUGGAGCGGGAUUGUAUCAGUUCCGUACGCAAAUGUCAUCAGUGCCAAGUGAAUGGAGAUUUGAUUAAUUCUCCACCAUCAGAAUUACACACGAUGUCUGCAUCAUGGCCUAUUGUCGCGUGGGGCAUGGAUGUCAUUGGGCUAAUUAAGCCAUCAUCGUUAAAUGCGCACAGGGUCAUCCUGGCCAUAUAUUAUUUCACCAAGUUGGGUAGAGGCUAAAACGUUCAAGUCCGUAACCAAGAAAGCUGUGGUGGAUUUUGUGCAUUUAAGCAUUAUCUGUCGGUUUGGGAUACCAAAGGUGAUCAUUGCAAAUAAUGGAGCUAAUCUCAAUAGUCAUUUGAUGAAAGAGGCAUGUGAGCCGUUCAAGAUUACCCACCGCAAUUGUAUCUCGUACCGCCCUAAGGCAAAUAAAGCAGUUGAGGUGGACAACAAGAAUAUAAAGAAGAUACUUCGAAAAAUGGUGGAGGGUUCUAGACAGUGGCAUGAAAAGCUGCCUUUUGCAUUGUUGGGGUACCACACCACUGUUCGUACUUCAGUUGGGGCGAGUCCUUACUUGUUGGUGUUUGGCAUUGAAGUAGUGAUACCCACACAAGUGGAAAUCCCGUCCCUUCAAAUUAUCACGGAGGCUGAGAUCGAUGAUGAUGAAUGGGUAAAAACCAGCCUUGAACGAUUGAGCUUGAUCUAUGAGAAAAGAUUGGUAGCAAUGUGUCAUGGCCAAUUGUAUCAACAAAAAAUGGCAAGAGAAUAGAACAUGAAAGUGCAUCCGAGGAAGUUUGAAGUGGGACAGUUAGUGCUGAGACGUAUCUUGCCUCAUCAAGCUGAAGUAAAAGGAAAGUUCUCCCCAAACUGGCAAAGGCCAUUUGUUUAACUAGAGUGUUGUUUAAUGAUGCAUUGUAUUUGACAGAUGUAGAAGGAAAAUGUGUAGUAAUGGCUAUCAAUUCUGAUGCAGUCAAGAGAUACUACGUACGAUUUCUUUGUUUGAUUGUACUUGUUUUUAAUUGGAAUAUUUUGAAGAUUGAAAUGACGAAGGGUGUUUUGUUCUGCUAUCUAAAUACGUUAUCACUUGUCAUUCCUUUUGAGCAUUGUUUAUUUUCUUUCAUACCCUUCUUUCGGAAUCAAUGGCACAAUUGAAAAAUGCUAGUGCGGAAGAUAUGUAUGUGAAAAGAAAAAGAAAAAGAAAAGAUGUAGAAAAAUGAAAGAAAAAAGAAAAAACAAAAUGAAAAAGAAAAAAGAGAAAAGAAGAAAAGAAAGAAGAGAUCACAACAAUAAAGCAAUUUCUAUGAAAUGAACUGCGUUCGACCUGAUUCCUCUUAAGGAUACGUAGGCAACCUCACCGUUCAGUCCAUCUAAAUAAAAUCCAAAAGUCCCCAGGCAAGAAACUGGGGUAGAAGUUGUGGUUGUUGUGAGAAAUAUGAUUUGGAAAGUUGUAACUUUUAUCCCAUUUGAAUUGUUUUGAGCCUCUUAUACCCUUUCUUUUUAACCCCUUCCAAAAGCACACGUUACGGUCCAAAGAAAGACCUUUUGAUCAAUCUUCGAGAAAUGCCAAGUCAAGCAUUCAAAGGUAAUUCAUGUCACGGGAAACACUCUAGUUCUAGCAGAAAAAAUAAAAAAUGAGAGAUUCUUAUUGACGAAAAUCUUUACGGGCACCGUAAGGCGACGAGAGCUGAGAGAAAUAAAAAUGAGAGAGUCUUAUUGGUGAAAACCUUCAGGGGCACCGUAAGGAGAUGCGAGUUGAGAGAAAUUAAAAUGAGAGAGUAUUAUUGGUGAAAACUCUCACGGGCACCUUGAGGCGAAAGUAAGUUGAGAAAUGAAUAAAUGAGAGAGACUUGUUGGUGGAAAACUGUUUCAGGGCACCGCAUGAUGAACAAGGCAAGGUUUGGGUAAAGCAAUCAGAUCAUGGAAAUUGUGAAUCAACAAGUAUGGCUACUGAAAGUUGGUUGGACAGAUUGGACCGAUUAAUCCAAGAUGCAUGUCAUGAUCAUUGGUGACAACUGUUCCACUCAGAUAAGUUACUUUUUCUUUUUCCCUUUUAAUAGUCAUAUGGUUUUCGAUUCUUCUUAUCUUUAACUCGCAAAAUUAUUGCAUUUCAUUUUCUUUUGGGGGUUUAUAUGUCUAAGAUGGUUCAAUGUCAGUUUUUUUCAGAGCAAGUGAAAAAAGAUUUCAAAGCUCACUACCAAUUUCCAAAAUUGCAAAGUACAACGUAGUCAGAACAUACUAAAGACAACAUGAUGUAAAAUGGGAUACAAGGAGCCACCGGAAGUUUCAUCGGUGGAAUGAUUUGGUAAUGUCAUGGGAAAUGUAAAUGUUCAGAUAAAGGGGUCAAAGGUAUGAAACUACAACAUGGGUAUAGAACACUUGGGUCGUCAAAAGUUAGGGGGUUUGAAAGUCAGUCAGAAAGUCAAGCGGUUCGGGCCAGUUCAGGGAAGCCAGUCAAAAAAAACAAAUACACUGGAGGGAUCUUCAGCAAGAAUUCCAUCAAGUAAGCACCAUUUUAAACUGAUAAAAUUUUCUUUGAUUAAAACAGGGGCAAAAAAAUUCGUAUGUUUCGAAGGAACUCUCUGUAAAGGAAAAGCAAGAAGUAAUCAGGUUUACCAUAAACUUUCAGGACCCUCCAUGAAAAUGGUACUUAGUUUAAAUUUCAAAAUAAUCAUGAGUAGCAUAAAUGAGCAUAAAUGUAUCCCAGGAACAUAAGAUGGUUUUAAAGUUCGCAUGUUGGAGGUGGGAUUCAAUUAGGAGUUUUCACGAUCCUCCUGAAUAGUGGGACACAGUUUUAUGAUUUUACUUAGAUAACAAGAUGUAGUGUAAAUUUCUGUCAUCAGGUAGUAUAAUUCAGUCGUACAAGUGUCAUUUUAGGACGAGGUUUGAUUGCCAGGGACCUCCCUGGAUAAUAGAACUUAGCUUUUAAAUUCUUAGUAAUAGUUGGUAGAAUGAUUCAUGUUUAACACUUACCCAUGUGCCUAGCUACAAAACUGGGGCAGAAAAUUUUCUUUGUUUUGCCUAUCUUGUUGAAGUCAGGUGACCACCUGGAUAGCAGAGGAAUACAUUCAUGUUUUGGAUUCAGGAGCCUACCUGUAUAGCAGAGGAAUACAUUUCAAGUUUUGAAGUCAGGAGCCCGUCUGUAUAGCAUAUGAAUACAUUUCAAGUUUUGAAGUCAGGAGCCCGCCUGUAUAGUAGAGGAAUACAUCUCAAUUUUUGAAGUCAGGAGCCCGCCUGUAUAGCAGAUGAAUACAUCUCAAGUUUUGAAGUCAGGAGCCCGCCUGCAUAGCAGAGGAAUACAUUUCAUGUUUUGAAGUCAGGAGCCCGCCUCUAUAGCAGAGAAAUACAUCUCAAGUUUUGAAGUCAAGAUCCCACCUAUAUAGCAGAGGAAUACAUUUCAAGUUUUGAAGUCAGGAGCCCCCCUUUAUAACAGAGGAAUACAUUUCAAGUUUUGAAGUCAAGAGCCUGCCUGUAUAGCAGAUGAAUACAUUGAAGUUUUGAAGUCAGGAGCCCACCUGGAUAGCAAAGUAAUACAUUCAAGUUUCGAAGUCAGGAGCCUGCCUGGAAAGUAUGGGAAUAUAUAUCAAGUUUAGCAGUCAGGCACCCACCUAGAGAAGGGAAAAACAUCUCAGUUUACGGUUUAAAGCAACAACAAUGGAUUUCACCGAGAGGAUACAAGACAACAAGGCAAAAAGAAAUGAAAGAGCAAGUUUGAAGACUUUGAUAGGAUUCUUUAAUUCAUAGAUCAUAGAUACUCUAGCUUCUUUUUAAUUUUACGUGGUAUAAUAAGGGGAUACAGUAAGCAGUAGCAGCAGCAGCAAUAGUGAAAUUACAGCUUCAUGGUAGUCCCAGCUACCAGACAUUCCCGAACUACACUGACCUGAUUCCUUUUCAGCCAAGGAUAUGUAGGCAACCUCAAAAGCAGGGUGCAGUCAACUCUUUCACAAAUGCUUCAUACAGAGUAUUCAAACGGACAAAAAUUGCUCAUAUUAUUAACUUUAAAUCUAGCUUUGAUUUCAUUAGGUUUUCUGUUAAUUUAUUUUGGAUUAAUUAUGUUAAUGAUCAUCUUAGUUUUAGUUAGUUAAUUAAUAGUUCUAGGAAUUAAUUUUGUUUUUUUAUUAAAUUUUAAAAAAAAAGAAAGAGAAAGGAAAGGGAAUUAAUGUGACUUGAAAUGAAAAAGAGAAAAGAGAGAACAAGGCAUAUUUGGGCCAGCCAAAUCAAAAACCCACUAGACAUGUCCAAUUCGGCUCAAUCUAGCACAAAACACAUCCCAACAUCCCCAUAAUUCGAACGACGUCAUUUCAGUCACAUUACAUCUGGAUUGUUGAUCUCAUUUCAUCCAAUGAUCCGGAACUGGGGUGUUUUAUAAUAUAUAUAUAUAUAUAUAUAUAUAUAUANNNNNNNNNNNNNNNNNNNNNNNNNNNNNNNNNNNNNNNNNNNNNNNNNNNNNNNNNNNNNNNNNNNNNNNNNNNNNNNNNNNNNNNNNNNNNNNNNNNNNNNNNNNNNNNNNNNNNNNNNNNNNNNNNNNNNNNNNNNNNNNNNNNNNNNNNNNNNNNNNNNNNNNNNNNNNNNNNNNNNNNNNNNNNNNNNNNNNNNNNNNNNNNNNNNNNNNNNNNNNNNNNNNNNNNNNNNNNNNNNNNNNNNNNNNNNNNNNNNNNNNNNNNNNNNNNNNNNNNNNNNNNNNNNNNNNNNNNNNNNNNNNNNNNNNNNNNNNNNNNNNNNNNNNNNNNNNNNNNNNNNNNNNNNNNNNNNNNNNNNNNNNNNNNNNNNNNNNNNNNNNNNNNNNNNNNNNNNNNNNNNNNNNNNNNNNNNNNNNNNNNNNNNNNNNNNNNNNNNNNNNNNNNNNNNNNNNNNNNNNNNNNNNNNNNNNNNNNNNNNNNNNNNNNNNNNNNNNNNNNNNNNNNNNNNNNNNNNNNNNNNNNNNNNNNNNNNNNNNNNNNNNNNNNNUGGGUGUUUUAUAAUAUAUAUAUAUAUAUAUUCCUAACAAUGUCCCCCCAAUCUCUUCUCCCUCUUGCCUCAGAAAACAUUCCACUGUCUCCGCCGUAUGCGGCCGCCAGAAAUCGGCCCACGGUGGUGGCAGGUCUCUGAUCGCCACCAAAAUCACACCAAACGUCCCCCUCCACCUCAUCAUCGAAUCCCAUAUCAGUUUCCCUAAAACACCUAUCAAACCUCUCGAAUCUGGGCUUCUAAAAAAACUCACAUUGUGAGAGUUUAUUGAAUAUUGAGGCCAAAAUUGAUCUCAUUCAUGUGUUUUCGCCUAAAAACACAUGAUUAAGACCCAUUUCAUUCAAAAUCUAUGGCUCAAGAAAUAACCCCAGGGUUUGCCUGUCCGAUUUUAGGUACCUCCAGUUUCUUUCUUUUUCUUGCAUUUUCUUUUUCUUUUUAGUUCAAAUUCACUCUUAUCUCUCCUCCGCCCCCUCUCGUCUCUUUUUUUACCCAUAUGAAAUUAUCAUUAAGAUCGAGUAGUGUUAGUAUAAUGGUUAGUAUUGAUUUAGGAUUUCCAUUUUCUAGUUUUUUUAACAUGUGUUCAAUUCGGACUAGUGAUAACCUCUGUUAUUUUUAAGAUCCAGAUUGUUUGAACUUUGCAUGUUUGAUUUGAGUUUCGUUGUACUGUAAUGGGUUUUAAAUUAAUGCUGUGAUGUUUUAGUUGGGUUGGUUCAUCAGGUUUUUUGUUCGUUGUGGUUUCUUGUUCGAGUUUUUGUGUAAAAGAGUUUGGGCUAGAUUGCCUUCUAGGUAGCACCAGGCCUAUUUAGCUUGACCAAUUGGCCUGGGUGGGUUCAGGGUAAAUAACAGUAGCUACAAUGGUGAUUUGGGUAGUUUAAGUGGGGGGAAUCUUUUCAUUACUGAAAGAAGGAGCUUCUAGUAGGGAUUACUAGCCAAUUUCAGGCUUUUGUGUAGUUUAACUUGGAAAAUAAGUCAGGAUUUGAGGGACUUCUAAGCAAAAAGCAGAAAUUAAAAGGGACCUAAAGGGUAAAAUAAUUUCUAAAAAAUCUGCCCUAUUUACUUGCCCAUAAAGGCAUUCUUUCUUGCCUUUGAAGGAGAAAUGAAAAAUCUGAGAAAGAUAGAAAAGGCAGCUACAAUCUUUUACUGUUUCAUUGAUUUUAUUUUUCUCUCAAUUUCGAAUUGGUUGAGACAACUUGGUAUUCAUUGAGGGUUUGAAAUGGCUUGAAUUCCUUUUGAAAGUUUGGUUUGAAUCGUGCAAAUAGAAUUAUUGUUUCAUUUGUGUCUGGGCUAAUUUCAUCGCGUAUUUGGUUGAAUCUGGGAUUGCUCUUUGCUGCGGUUGGGUUCUACUGUUCUUGGCUUACUACUGAUGAUCAUUCUUAACCUCAGAUUUUUCUUUGUUCAUUUGUUGUAAUCAGGUACAAAUUUUCGGACCUUUUGUCAGUGUGAUGGGUUUGAACUUGGAGAUCUUUUGAAGAUGUAGUUCUUUGAAUACGUAUGCAUCACUUGUGCUUCAUUGUAUUUUUUUCUUCGUAUUGGUGAUAUCAUGACUAUUUAAAUAUGUAUUGAGCAUUCUAUUAGAUCUAGAUCUUCCAAUUAAUUUUAUUUAGUUUGAUUGCUUGUCAUGCAUUGAGGGUAAAACUGUUACAAGAUAGGUCUUGUAGAGAUGAAAAGCUCGUUGUAUUAUAAUGUUUCUCCUACAGAUUUGAAUUGUCAAGUGAGUUGAGGCCACAGUUAAUUGCCCUGUUUUUCUGUCUAAAUUAGAGAUUGUUUGGGCAUCUGAAUAUGUAAUGCUGCAAUGCUGAUGCUUGAUUUGAGUAGCUUAAGAUUCCAAAGUAGGCUUACUAAAUGUGUUAGCAUCCAGGAAGUUUAUGAAAUAACUCUGGUUUUUUUCCAAAAAAGGGGAUUUAUCUAUUCUUGAGCUUGAAAUGUCUUGAGUUAUAAUGUAGGAAUCUCUUAUUAAAAUCAUCUCAUAUUCGUUUUUUGUCUUCCAGAGGUUGGAGAUGGAUAGACUUAAUCUAGUAUUAAAAACUAAAACUAUUCUAAAAUAGUUUGGUCUUUUGGCGAAGCUUGAGUUCAGAUGUUGUCACAUUAAAAUGAUUAAUUUCAUUAUGGAACGUAAACUGGCAUCAAGGUGUGUUUGGUAUUUGUUAAAGACCAUUGUUAUCUGUUCUUGAUCUUUAUUUUAAAGCUAUUGGGUUAAUGGAAUUUGAACCAGUUAUCCCGAACUCCCCUUCUCGGCAUGCCUGUUUUCGAUCUGGGAUUCAGGAUAGGCCCAUUUUUCUUCUUGUAUUUGUUCAGGCUGUUGACAAUUGGUCAUUAGGCCCUUAGACUCCUUUCAAACGUGGGUUCUGUUACUAUUUAUUCUGUGGCUAUUAAACUUAGAUUAGCUUGGUUUUAAGAAGUUCAACUAGUCUUUUAAUAUGUUAACUAGUUUUUAAAUUGAAAUUAAGGUGUGUCGUGCCAAAUAAAAUG
rnacentral:lncRNA from 1 species